CACACACCAUCACACCAUCACACCAUCACACCAUCACACCCCAACUUAACAAAGUGUCCAGGCUGUCAGGGUUCUUCAUGGCCCAGAGAGCACCAAAAGGACAUAAGAAACAUCUUUUGUCAAGGUGUCCAGUCUUAGAGCUGACUUCAGACUUUUCGGGGCAGGGGAUAUUCUGCUUUUCUGAGAAAAUAGCCAGAAUUAGCAAGUCAUACACAUACUAAGCAAACAUUUUAUUGAGCCUACUGUGUUCCCAGAGCACCAUAAGAGGUAAAACUUCUGUCAUGUUCUCACGUUGGACAAGACUGCUGUGAGGUGGGGUGGAAAGAGCCUAGUGUUUUCUGAGGACCAUCUGGUCGUGAGCAUGGCAUUCCCACUACAGACUCUGCCUGCAGCAGUGUUCCAAGGGGCUGGAGGUCAAGGCUGCACUAUUUACAGCAGUAAAGAAUGAGGAAGAACUUGCAUGCCGGGCCUGCUGGCCAUCUCUGUGGCAAGCAUUAGGGUCUGGAUUCAAAUUCCCAGCACCCAAGUGAAAAGGUUGGGUGCGGCUGGGUGAGGGAGCAGAGGCAGGAGGAUUGCUGGCUUUCCAGAUGCCGGUCUAGAUUCAAUGAGACACUCAAAGGCAGGGUAAGGCAGAGAAUUACAGAGUGGGACACCCAGCCUCCUCUUCAGGCCUCUACACAAGUGUACUUGGGAGCUUGAGCCUAUGCACAGGUGCACAUAUGUCCCCCCAACACGGGGAGGGGGGAGAGGGAGGGAGGGAGAGGGAGAGUGGGUAAGGGAGAGAAGAGGAGAAGGAGAGAGGGGGGAAGGGGGAGAGAGAGAGUAGGGAGGGGGAUGGAGAGAGACGGAGAGUGGAGAACAGGUAAAUAAACAUCAGAGUAACUGAGUGUAUUACUUGAACAGCUGUAUGUGGGUAGAGAAAGGCCAGAUGGUGGCAGCCUCCCAGGAACCAUGCCAUUGGCCAACAGAGCCAAGGGUGGACAUGAGCAUGGUUACUGCUGAGCUGUCCGGACAGAUCAAAGAGUGUGUUUGCAUUAGAAUUUAAAAUCUCGAGAGGCAGUAGGCUAAUGGACACAGAGGAGAUCUAGGGGUGAGACACUGGCUUUAGCUAGUUUAAUCUGAUGUAGACAAAUUCAGCAGAGAAGUGUGCGCCAGAGCCUUUAAGGAGCAGCAGGAGGUGAGGCCCCAAGCUUGCAUUGCUUAUCCCAAGAAGAAGGCAGAAAGGCUAGAAGCACAGUAGGGGCAGAGGCUGGGAAACUUGGGGCCCUAAGUGGUAGAGAUGGUGCCAGGCUUGAUGUGGAGGAGAAAGGCAUGAGUGGGUGAAGACUAAGAGGUCCCUCUGAGUGGCCUUGCGUGGGAUAGCACCAGGGCAGGGAUGUGCCUUGGUAAGUAGCUGGAAUCCUAUAGGAAAGACAAGCUGGAGAUGUCAGGUUACGGAAGGCAUAAGGAGAAGACAGGGCAGCAGGUACCAAUGAUAGACUUAUAUUGUUAGAACUGGAGAGACUUCCUUAGCCCUGAGAUAGGGGAAUACAGGCCCUCACCAGAUGGGGCAAGGGAGUGUCUCAGGCUUUUAAGUUUUCUCUGAGCCUUUUGUGGGACUUGGCUCAGUUUUUCCAAGACCCGAACCUUCCUGCCUCCCGAUUGCAGUGAUCCCAACUGAGCUGGAGGCAAAGCAGAGGCUGCUGCUUGGAGGCCCUUGGGAAGAAGAGAGGGGAGAGAGGAAGAAGGUGUCCUUUGAUGGUCAGAAAGCCAGGACCACUCUCAGAACUCACAGCCUACUUAGGGCAAGCACUCCAAGCACAGAAACUGGGGACCGAACAGGCCAGACACUGAGAGAGGUGGCUGGAGGUGGGUGGUGCCCUCGAGAGCUCAUCCAAGAUACUCUGGCACCUGCCUUUCUGGUGCCUUAUAUAAUAUCAGCUACCCAGGCAGUACUGGGACAGGCAGAUCCUGAACCCAAGAGCUGGAGCCCUGGAAUCUAGUGUCUCCCUGUCCUGUGAGCUGAUGUUGAACAUGUCAUCUAGCUGUCACAGUGCUGUGGGUCCAGAGGCCUGGAACACAGGUAGAGAAGGGCCACACGGCACAUCGUAUUUCCCUACAAAAGGAAGAACCUGGGGUGAGAAGAGAAGGUUGUACCAUCCUGUCUGCUGUCUGAAACCAUCAGGAGAGUACAAAGAAAAUUCAGCUCUGUGGACACUGAUCUGAAAGAGACACUCAGUGAGGAACAGGUUACUGUCACACCAGCUUUGAGAACCCCUAGACAUUCUUCUUCCUUGUAGAGGGUCAAACCUGUAUGUUGUGAAAGUAGACAUCCCUACAGUGGUCCUGUUUAACACAGUUCUCAAACAUGCACACAGCACCUCCCCCUUUCCAGAAAGCUUGUUAGCUCUUUGCAGAAAGUGGGUUCCAUGCAGCACACCUUGGCGAGAACUGACCUGAUUCAUACGGACAGGGGCUCGUGCUAGGGAUUUAGCUGAAUGGUGAAAUGCUUACCUGCCCUGCACAAAACACAGGAUUCAUCUCCAGCAUGGCAGAGGGGAAAGGAAGGAGAGGGAGGGGGGAAGGAAGAAGGGAAGGGGAAGGGGCUAGGCAAAAGGAAAGUGAAGAAAUACAAAGAGGAGAAAGGGGAGGCAGCCCUUUAAGUGGGCUCUCAGAUGGCUCAGUGAAGGACAGACACAGCUGCCCUCUCUCACAGCAGGAGGACUGCUCGCUCCCGGGCCUGGCACGCAGUUAGCCUAGCCGGUGAAGCUUUUGCAGGACUCAGAGCAGCAGCCGCCUCGUUGCCAAGCUUGGCUGUGGCAGAGCCUGCUGUGGCUCAGGGACCAGCGGCUUCCAGGUGGGCGGUGGGGUCAGGCAUCUGGAGCAGCCGACACACAGAUGUCCCGGCCGCUCUUGGAUCCCUGCCUGCCUCCCGCUUUCCCUAAUUCCAAUAUUUGGCUGCUGCUCUUGCCUAAUUCAUAUUCCAAUGUCAACACUGCAUAAUCUCCCCCAAACACUGCCGCCCUGAGGCUGGGGAAGGGGAAGGGACAGGAAAGCGGGGACACAGAGACCGGAGCGGGUCAGGAAAGGAAAGUGAGGAGGCACAGGCCAGAGACAGGAAGCCCCAGCAGGCAGUGCUUCCGGUAACCCCCCCCCCCAUAUCCUUAGAGGGGGAGAUCUGUGGGACAUCAUUCAGUGCCAUAGGACACACUGUGCUCCACAGGGAUGAUGUUUUCAUGUGCCCAGAAAAGGGGACCCAGAGACUCCCCACAGCGAUCAAACGAGGGUGUGCUCAACUUGUAUGACCUGCAGUGAAGAUAGUGGGACUUCCGCCUCCCAAGUCCGGAUGCUUGGGUCUCUGCCUCCAGCUUAGCCUCUAGAUGGCUAUGUGGCCUUAGGGGUCAACUGACUACCUCAACUUUAUAACCAGGAAAUGCCAGAAGCUGACACAGGAACCCAAGGCUGCCUCUCUCCGAAGUCCCCACAUCCCCACAGUUGCCCUCAGUGAGAAGCACCUGGCUAAGGGAAAGAGGACAAAAAGCAUGUGGAGAAGAGGAUGGUGAGAAUAGACGGUGACGUGCUGGGUCUCACAGCCAGUGCAGGGAUGGCCUCAGACACAGUGGGGGCAGGACCACACUGUCACUGGUUCACACAGCAGAAGAGUCUAGGGUACCGGUCUUCAUACUGGGGGGUUAUCUGAGGAGAUCUAUGGGGCUCUGGCCCAGCUGGAGUGGCCAAAGAGUUUGCAGCUCCCUGAGGGGGAGCAAGACUGGAUGUUGGGCCUCUUCCUCAGCGGCCGUUGCCCCAGAGUCCGUGGCAGGUGGCAGGAUGCAGUAAAAAUUGGUCUGUGGCUAGGAGCUAAGGUUGGGGACCACCGAGCAGGAAGUUGCUGCAGUAGGCUCUAGCAGCUUCCAGCAACUAAAGCUUCAGGAGAAAAUACUCUUCCCUUAGGGUAUUACAGCUUGAUAAAUCAGGUACUCUCAGAAAGUCUUUGGUAAAAUACCUCGUGUACCUUAUUCCUGGUGGAUAGGAUCUUAUAAACAUUCUGGGUGGGUAGGCAUCUAAAGGCAGAUACCUUCUAUUGGCUUGGUCUGAGAUGUUAGAGAUGCCUCAUCUGACCAUGGAGGGGAUUUGGGUAUUGCCUGUAUGUGAUUGAUUGAUUACCACAGUCCUCUCCAUGUGGUGUCAUGUGCACGUGUUCCAGGACAGGAACCUGGUCGGGAGUAGAUUUAAUCAUCUACCGUUCUCAAUUAUGAGAAUUGCUGGGGUUCCGCUCAACCUUACCAGGUUUUCUGUCUGGUGGCUCGGUCCACUGCCCACACUAGGGGAUGGAGUGAACUGGGGCAAACAGAGCAAGUACAGCCCCACCCCAACAGGAGCCUGUUCUGGGCAUGUAAUAACAUAUGCCCAGGGCCACCAGAUCUGCUGCCCUUUCAAAGAUUCCAAAAAUCAAAUUACUGCUCAGAAUCUCCCUAUUUGUACAUGUUGGCUGAACAUUUAAGACAAAGGACAAACACUCAGACAAACAAAAUGUCACUGCUCCCUGGCUGACCCACUGGCCACAGUCACAGCCUCCAACAAUCCAAUCCCAUCAGCUCACAGAGGCUCGCUGGAGUGUGAACUCGCAGGCUGCAGGACUGACCAUGUUUCUGUGUCUAGUGGUGCCAGGGCUGGCACCGACAUGUAUUGUCAGACUUUGGGAACAUGGGAAUGCAAGCCAGUUCCCAGACAGUAAGAAUAGAUCCUGGCUCCUGCGUCUCUGUCCCAACCCUGCUCAUGGCCUCUCUCACUGUUCCCUGGUGCUGUUCAGAAACAGCCUCCAGGGUUGCAGAAAUGGGUCAGUCACUUGUUAAGCAAGCAUGAGGAUCUGAGUUCAGAUCUCCAACAACCAGGGGUGUCAACUUGUCAGUAGGCCAAGGUGAAUGAUCAGAUGGGCCCUGGAGUCCAUUGACCAGCUAGUCUAGAUGGACAGAGGGGCUCCAGGUUCCACGAGAGAACCUGCCUCAAAAAAGAAGAGGGAAACACCAAAUCUCAACCUCCACAUGAGCGUAUGCAGACACCCACAUGAACACACAAUGCAGUUUCUCACCAGGCUUGUACACACACACACACACACACACAGAGAGAGAGAGAGAGAGAGAGAGAGAGAGAGAGAGAGAGAGAGGGAGAGAGAGAGAGAGAGAGAGAUUGUAUUUCCAGCCCUGUAGAGCCAGGAUCUUAGCAGACAGAGAUUAGAAACCUAUGUUUAUUAUUUUUAUGUGUAUAAAUGUUUUACCUGCCUAUAUGUCUGUGUACUGGGUUCAUGCAGUACUCACAGAGGCCAGAAGAGGGCAUCAGAUCCUCUGGGACUGGAGUUAGAUGGUUGGAACCUCCAUGUGAGUGCUGGGAGCUGAACCCAGGUCCUUUAAAAGAGCACCACUGCUCUUAAUCACUGAGCCAUUCCUGCAGCCUCAGAAAUCUGUACUUUUGGUAAUUUUGAAGCUCACGUGGCAGUCCCUUCAGAAGUUAAACUUACAGGCCAGAGGCUGUAGGAGCCAGAACUAUGCAAAAGUCUGUGAGAAAUUAAGAUGUGUCUACAGGAAGAAGUGUUACAUGAAGGAUGAAUAGCCCAAAUGUCCAUCGGGUGGUGCAUAGAGACACAGUAUGGUACAGUUCCCCGCCCCCCGCAACCGGAUUAUUAUGUAGCUUCAAAAAAGGUGAAGUGAGGUAAUUUGUGUCACCAUAUAGAUAUAGAUGCACUUCGAUUGAAAAGAAAAAUAGGUGCACGCAAGAGAGAAGCAGCUCAUCCAGGGCAUGCGAUUCCACUUGGUGGCAUUUCCAGAAUGAGUGCUCAGAGCACUUCCCACCUGCUGAAGAAGGGGACAGGAAGGCAUGGCCGCUGAUGGAGAGGCGACUCUUGGGAGGGGCGUAGUAAAAACAUCCCCUGGAACCAAAUAAGACAACGGUUGUGCAAGCCUGAAAUGCACUGAAUUCCAUGCGGUCGACUGUAUGUGGAUUAUAUUAAAAAUAGCCCAUCCUCCAGUGUCUUACCCAGGGGAGUGUAGGAGAUGAAGCCAGAAAGAAAAUAAAGAGGGAGCACUAAGAGCUAAGCGGCAGCAGCUAGUGGUGGAAGAGUGACCGCUGCCCGCUGCCUGCUGCCCCACAGUCUGCACUCCAGUCUGAGCUGCUGCGGGCAAGUGAGCGGCUGUCACCUGGGUUGUUGGAGGAAAAUCCAACCCUCAUUCGCCUCACUUCAGACUUUCCAUUUCAAUGCCCACAGCCUCAAGUGCCCUCCCAUGACCCUGGGGCUUGGCCCUGUGAGUAGAGCACAGCGUGCACAGAGACAUGGGUCUGCUCCUGCCCGAGUAACAUAUACAAGCAGAUACAGUGAUGUACACCCACAAGCCCAGUGCUUUGUGGGUAAAGAUAGGAGCAGCAGGAGUUAAAGAUCAUCCUCAGCUACGGAAAGAGUCUACAUCAGCUUGUGAUAUAUGAGACCUGGUCUAAAAAGAGAUUAAAAGGAAACAAAACAAAGCAAAAAACUCCAAGAAGACAGUAACAGUAAAAUUCAUACAAUGUUGUCUCUAAUUAGAGGAAAGUAGACAACUAGAAACCUGGGGAGAGGGCUUAUCAGGUAAACCUGAGGGCCUGAGUUUAGCAUCUAUGUCACAGUGGUACAUGCCUUUGCUCUCAGCAGAAGUGGGCAGGUUUCUGUGGGUCUAUAUAGUGAAUCCCAGACCAGUCAGGGCUACAUAAUGAAACACUUCCCCAUCCCAGGGAACCUUCCCCCAUCUCAGAAAAAAAGAAAAGCUGGACGUGGCUAUGCACCUGUUGAGUCAGGGCUGUAAAGGGGCAGAGGCAGGGGACUGCGGGGUGAAGGGGCUGGCAGCUGGCGUAGCUCCAGGCUCAGUGGGACUGGUCUCACGGGAAUAAAAAGGUAGAGUUAUAGAGCAGGACACAUGGCAUGACCUCUAUGCACCCCACAUGUAACAACACAUACACGUGCAGAUAUGAAAUAAAAACAGAGAAGUAACAAAAGAAAGUGGUGAACACAUAUCUGCUGAGAAGUUAGGUCAUAAUCGUGUUUGGUCACACUGAGGGAAACAGGGAAGGAGGGGGUAAAUGGCACUUAGUAGAGUGAAGAGUAAAGGCCACAUGGCGGGGAACAAGUAGCUUCCUGAGGACAGAACUUCCAAUGGACAAACUGGAUUGUCCUCUCUGACGUAUUCACUGCAGAGGGAUAAAUAAGUCAAAGCCUGGGAGACCCCAGUAGAUGCGUCCCCAGCCUGAUGGUGAGCAUCUCCAAGAUAAGGUGGAUCCCACAUGGCUCACAGAAGGCUUGUUACUGUGGAAAGGAGUGUCCACCCUGACACACACGAUCUCAACCGGAUGUUGAAGAAAAUGUCGGCACACCCACAUAGUAAUUUUUCGUAACAGAAACAACCAGUGCCCUCUCAGAGGGUCCCAGUCAUGACAGAGCAGAACUGAAGCCCUGCCAGAGCACAGAGGAGUUCUGAGCACAGCCUGCUGCCUGAAUCCUGGCCUGCAUCCCAGAAAGGAACAGGGCCAUUAAUAGCAAAGCUGGUGAGAUCUGAAUAAAAUCUGCACAUUCACGAAUAGCAUCGCACCCAGACGGUUUCCUUGGUUUGGGUCACUGUGUUCUGAUUACAUGAGAUGUUAGAGAAAACGCAGGAAGGAUGGAGAAAGAACUACUACUGAGGAACUCGCUGUGCAACCUCAGUGACUUUCCUCCAGGUCUAAAAUUAUUUUGAAUUUAAAAAAAAUAAAUCAACGUAUCCUGUGAUA